GGAGCUGACACGAGAGGACACGAUCGGAAAGGGAACAAAUUAAACUCUGAACCAGGUGAGUGUUAGAACACAGAAAAGUCUCAUGGUGACAAGAUUUGAUCAGGAAAUAAAAACCAGAGGAGACACAGAGAUUCAGGGAGGAGCUGAGCUGCGACUGAAGAGCAGACGAGACAGAGAAACCUCCACAUUCAACACAGAAGAUUCAGUCCAACAUGUUGUUGUUGGGCUGUUAUGAAACUUCUCUGUUAAUCAUCAUGAUUCUAACAGGUGUCAGCUGUCAACAACUCACUGCCAGCAAAGCUGAAGAGUCCAGUUUGGAAGGCAGCACAGCUACUCUGUCCUACAGAUACUCCAGACA